UACGUAGGGCGCAAGCGUUGUCCGGAAUUAUUGGGCGUAAAGAGCUCGUAGGCGGUGUGUCGCGUCGGAUGUGAAAGCCCGGGGCUUAACCCCGGGUCUGCAUUCGAUACGGGCAGACUGGAGUGUGGUAGGGGAGAUCGGAAUUCCUGGUGUAGCGGUGAAAUGCGCAGAUAUCAGGAGGAACACCGGUGGCGAAGGCGGAUCUCUGGGCCGUAACUGACGCUGAGGAGCGAAAGCAUGGGGAGCGAACAGG
rnacentral:rRNA from 1 species